rnacentral:lncRNA from 1 species
AGGUCUUAGGUUCAAUCAUGGGCAUCACCUUCCUUGCUUUGUCUAGGAACAUUGUGAUUUAUCUUCGCCUUGUUGGCUGUGGGGAUGAUUAUGGGUGGGUGGCAUAUACCCUUUACAAUUGUAGAGAGGCUAAUCCACUAAAAUUUUUCCUCAAGGAUUCAAAUAGAUAUUAUUUGAUGAUGGAUAAAUCAUUAAUAUAUCUACCCCUUGCUUCCUAUAUAACCCAAUCAUUAAAAUAUCCAAACCUAAUUCAUGCCUUACCUUCAAAGUUCAAACCCAAAUCAUAUCCCAACCUGCGCCCAGCAUUUCCCUGAAAGUCACCAUUUCUAUUCGAUAAUGUUUUCUACCAAAAUGUAGGAACACAAGAGCAUAUAGCAAUCAAUUUCGAUAGACCACAUAGCAAAUGAAAUCCUCUUUGAAUCAAGUCACGGCUGACAUCUCUUAAGUCAGGAAGGAUCAAACAACAUCUUAAAAAAAUGUGUGUGAAUAGGCAAGACCUUUUAUCAGAUACAUAGAAAGAGAUAAGUUUAAAUUGAACCAAAUACUGAGGGAAAACGCAUGUAGCCAUGAAAAAUAAGCUGAUGAUCAUUUCAAGGUAAAGCUCAGAUCCUCUUUUAUGCAAAACAAAAGUAUCACGACUAAAACAUGAGAGAUCCACAAGGUGUUGUUAGCUAGAUUGUGUAAAACCAUGAGCAUACUUCAAGCCAUAUGAGAUUCGGCACCAAGAAAUGCCUCAAGCAACAAGAGCUCCAGGAAAAUGAGUGAAUUUCUUGUGUUCACAAACUAAAUCAUUGUGAUAUGAAGCUUUCAUACGCAUUGAAUCUCCUUCUAAGAUGAAAUAGAUCUUGGUAAAAAGAAAUACAUAUACAUGAUGAAACGAAAAGGGGUUGACAUUAUUGUGCAAAGAGUAAAAGCAAUCUGGAGUAACACAAUCUCAAAAAAUGAAGUGCUGGUUGAUGCAGAUUACAUAACACUCAGAAAUUCACGAAACUACUGAAACAAUAUAGCCUCUUACUAUAACACUCAGUGUACGAAGAAAGACUCAGGACAACUUCACUAAACCCUAAACCUUAAAUGCAAACACACGCAUGAGUUGAUUAGUCAAGGAAUUGGGGAGCCAAAAAGGAAAUAGAUACUAAAUCACAAGACUAAUUAGAACUACAGACCAGGAGAAGCUUUGACUUCAGAAACACACUCACUUCAAUGGGAUUACAACCAAACAAUGUAUAUGAUUGUCAAUUUUGACAUACAUAAGCUAAAAUUACAAAAAUUUCGAUAAUUCCCAAAGUUACGAUCAUGAUUUUCUACUCAAAACUAUAGACACGACUCUAAAAGAAGCCCAUACGAAAUCAACAUUGUGCUUUGGUUUACAUCCUGAAACUUUAUGCAACUUUCAGAGAAGUAUCUCUUUCUACCAGUGGACAUGUCUUUAGUCUUUACAUACAAAGAACAUGAGAUUAUGUGUAAGACGGACUCUAUCCAUGCAGAGAACAUUGAGUAACGACUUCUAAGGGAUUGGUUUCACUUGUAUUUGAAUUUAUGGAUGAAUGAGCCACAGUGUUCCAAAAACAUGUAGAGGGUAUCAUUAUCAUGAAUCAUAUCAUAGGAUACAAAUUUAAUUAGAAUACGUCUGAUAGAUAAUAUUAUUGGUGUUCCAAAAAAUCCUACUUAGGGCGCUUAAGCAUCCAUUGGGUGUUCUCCUUAUGGUUUUAAUUAGAAAGGGUCACUAAAUCAUCCACCUAGCUUAAGCAUCCCUCACCACUUAUAUUAGCCGCUAAUCGUCAAAAAUAAGAACUUGAAAAAUAAUAAGGGGACUAUUUCUCAUACAGGAAGUUAUCUUCUCAAUCCUUAAUGGCUAAUUGGCAUCACUAGAACAGUGAAACUAGCCAUGUUGAAAAAGUAACUUAGCUUUUAAUUCUAACAUGUACAUGUAUUCUGAUAAUAUUCAUAUCAUGUAUUGUGAAAUGAACCAUUUAUCCACCGAUGUUCCUGGGUGACCCUUGCUAAAACAAUUAAGCCCUAGAAGAACAAACCACAUAAUAACAUCAAGUUUUUGAGGUUUGAAUGCAGAAUCGAUUCAGCUAAAAGCGGAUGUGACCCAAAAUAAUAUAUAUCCAUCCAUCACUUAAGAAGUAUUUUUACCAUGUUGGAUAACUAGUCUGAAUUCUCAUGUGCAUCCAUCCGCCCACUCAAGGAUCACUUGUCCCCGCAUGCCCUUCACGUAUAAUGCUCCCUUGAUACUUAAGACAUGCACAUAUAACUGCAUGAUACAAUGAAACAAAUUAGGGUUUGUCAAUGCAAUGAGUUUUUUAAACAUUCAACAACAAUCUAUUUACAACUCCUUUCUCUAACAAUUGGUGAAUGCCACCCACCAACCGGUCCCACAGCUACCAACAUGGGGAAGGUAAACUACAAUGUCCACAAAGCAAGGAAGGUGAUGCUAGGCUUCAACCUACAACCUCACUUGUGGAUUCUCAUCUCAUUAGCAAGCAUGGAGGGACUCCUUGCUCUAACAAGAGUAAGCCUAAACAUGGAUACUUCUAGCACUAGUGUCCAAAAAAAAAACGAAACUCAAAAAGAAAACCAAGAUAAAUGAAAAGGGAAAAAUCCAGAAAAGCACAACCAUUUAUCUACUAGCAUUCAGAAAAACCCUUGCAUUUUGUUUAUAUGCAGAGAACCCUUAUAUUUUUUGCUACCUUUCACAUUAACCAAAAUAUCCGGUUUUUUAAAGAAAUUACCAAUUGUUUUGUGACAUGACAUUUAUCUUUUUCAUUUUUAGGUUAACAUGGAAUCAAAAAUAAGUGACGUUGCCUCUUAUCUAUGGUAAAACGUGAGAAAUAGAUCAUUUACUCAACAAUCAUUUACUUAGGCAAAUAUAAGUGACAUUGCUUAUUUUUUUUCCAUGUCAACUUAAAAACAAACAAGAUAAAUAUAUUGUCAUAAAACAACCGAUAAUUUAAAAUUAAAGAAAAAACCCAGAUAUUUGGGUAAAUCUGAAAUGUAACUGAAAAUGUAAUGGUUUUUCUGCAUAUAAACAAAAUAUAAGGGUUUCUCUGAGUGUUGGUAGAUAAAUGGUUGUGCUUUUCUGCAAUUUGAAAACAAAAAAAAAAAUCUGAAAAACCAACAGUUGGUUUCUCCGAAGUCAAAAUCAGAAAUUUUUGGUUCAUUACCAGUUUCAAGUGAAAAACCAAACAGAACCAUGUUCACCCUUAUCUAACACUAACAAAUUAAAAGGGCUGCACAGUGACUUAUCUAUUUCUAAGUAUCGGGACUACUACAGGAAAGUAAUCUUUAUCGAACAACAAAGAAACCCUACAUCGACUCCCUCAUAAAGUUAUAUACAUAAAUUGAUAAAUUGGAUAAAAAAGACAGAAUAACUAAUUCACACAUUGAAACAAAAACAAAAAGAGUGUCCAUUUUCUAUAAGAACAAAGAUCAUCCACAAAGCUAAAACAAUAUAUUACUCCCUCCAUUCGAGAAAAAUGUAAUGUUUGAUUUAUCAUGUACUUCAAUAUAUAGAAGUCUUUGACUAAUAAUCAAAUACCAAAAAUACCCCUAGGACAUAGGACAUAACUAACUGAGAAAACUUGUGCAUCAAAAUCAAUGUCACCAAUUUCUUGCUAUAAUUAUCCAGGGAAAAAUAGAUACAUUUGGACUAGAAUCCUCAGAAGUUUUGGUAGAACUCAAAACAAAAGUUGCUCCCUUAUAAAAUAAUCAAAUACAAUAAAAACUUCAUUAGAAGGCAUUAAGUAGAUCAUGUUCAGAUUCUUCUCCCACCAAACAUCUUCAACGUCGUCUUUUUGCCUAAUUUGUAUGUCCAUUUUCUCGUGGGUUAUUAAAACAUCUUAAUCUAGUUUCUAAAAAAAUGAAUUUAAGCAAAAUAAGCAUUCCAUACUUAACAUGCAUCCUAGAAAGUUGUGGAACUACUCAUAUGAUACGCAAAGGCAAAGCUUACAACCGGUAUAACAUUAAAAAUAGUCUAGACUCUAGAAUAACAAGUGACAUCUAAUAAAGCCAUCUUAAUUGCUUAAUUUUUUUACUAAUUAGUUGCAAAUUAUGGGAAGACAACAAUCAUAUCAUAUGAAUAUAACAUAUAUAUCCCAAGACAAUCUUUACCCUCAAGUGGAACUAAUUCAGGAGUUGUAUCAUUAUAUUAUUGUGAUCCUUGUUGUCUUAAUACAUGACCACACCAUGAUGAGGAAUAACUCAGAAACAAUUCUCCUUAAUUACUUAGUUUUUAUCUCGAAUUGGUGGUAAAAACUAAAAUAAUCAAAACUCUAAACGGUAAUUAUCCAGUUUGGGUGGAGCUUCAUUUAGUCUCAUUUCUUAUAACUUAUUCAUUUAGCACAAGCAAAAAGUAUCAGAAAGUUGUCAGCAAUCACCAACCAGCUAUCAUAGAUGUAGGCAGUUGAAUUGCAAGUAAAGUUACUCAUGCUUCAUUGCUUCUUCCUAAUACUGGAAGUUCUAAAUUUUUUUUAACAAAAUCGCACCUGAAGUUAUUUUAGCAUACAAAUUCACAGUUAUUUUGUUGCAUACAUUUUAAAGUGUUUAUGAUGAUGACCCUAAAAAAUCUCUAUUUAUUAUUUACAGUUCUGGCAAAGGGAGGCUGCAAUGUUAAAGCAACAACUGCAGAGUCUGCAAGAGAAUCAUAGGUAAAAUUUCUAUCUAACAAGAUUCAGUAAGUGCAAAGCAUGAAAACUAGUGAUACAGACUAUGUUCUUAAUCCAUAAGGACAACCUUUUACAUGAAUUUCUAAGAGGGCAAAUAGUUUGACAUGUUACAUUCAUAUACUACAUUAUUACAGGGCUAAAUAGUGAAUAAUCCUGGAAAUAAAAAACUAAUAAUUAGACUAUAUUGUAUAAUAGUUAUAAAGUUAAUAUUUGAUAUUGAGAAAUAAAAUGAAAUAUUAUUGGAUAUCUAAUAAAACAGAAUUACUAGAGAAAAAAUAAUAAAGAUUUAGAUACUUAAAUAUAAUUACGGGAGUAAAGUGAAAUAUAUUGAAUAAGGGGGUUAAAUAUACAAAACAUAAAAACAAUAUAAGCAUUUAAUAGUAGUUGAUACAAAAAUAAAAAUAAGUCGAGUGUUCCAAUGUAAUAACCUCUUUAAACAUUAUUUCAUAUAGUAAUAAACUNAAAAAAAAAAAAAAAAAAAAAAAAAAAAAAAAAAAAAAAAACCUCCCGUUCCCAUUGGAGAUGCUCUAACAACAAGUAAUCCUAUACUUGUAAUGCAAUCUAGUAUCCUUAAGAAACUUCUGGAAAUUGAUUAAAAUAUACAAGGAUAUAUUGAGUUUAACAAUAACAAUUAUAGGCGAAUGAUGGGUGAAGAGCUUUCUGGUUUAAGUGUGAAAGAUCUACAGGGCAUGGAGAGCCAACUUGAAAUGAGUCUCAGAGGUAUCCGUAUGAAAAAGGUUUGAAUCUACUAACCUUUAUCUAAUGCUAAUCUUGUGACUUAUAUACUUUACUUAUGUAACCAAAAAAACUUUGUCUUGAUGACAAUUGAUGAAUUGCUAUAGGACCAACUUCUUUUUGAGGAAAUCGAAGAACUCAGCCGAAAGGUCAAGCCAAAACCUUAAGACCAUUUUCAAAUGUCAAUUCUAGAGAAAGUAUAUCUUCAAGUAACUUGAUCUUUUUUUACUCAUUCAGGGGAAUCUCAUCCACCAUGAAAAUGUCGAACUUUGUAAGAAAGUAACCCAAAUUCGUGAAGAAAAUACCGAACUCUACAACAAGGUAUUUAAUAUUUUAUCAACUGCAGUGAAAAAUAUUUCAGUAAAAUCAUGAAACAUAAUGAAUUAGUAAUUUUGUCACCUCCUAGAUUUAUGGAAUAAGAGAUGGAGAAGCAGCAAACAGAAAUGUAUUUUUGACAAAUGGUUCAAGCAUGAGAGAGGAUCCACAUCCCCCAAUCCAUCUCCAGCUUUCUCAGCCAGAUCAAC